GACGUAGGGCGCGAGCGUUGUCCGGAUUUAUUGGGCGUAAAGAGCUCGUAGGCGGUUUGUCGCGUCUGCUGUGAAAUUUCGGGGCUCAACCCCGAACUUGCAGUGGGUACGGGCAGACUAGAGUGUGGUAGGGGAGACUGGAAUUCCUGGUGUAGCGGUGAAAUGCGCAGAUAUCAGGAGGAACACCGGUGGCGAAGGCGGUUCUCUGGGCAUUACCUGACGCUGAGGUGCGAAAGCGUGGGGAGCAAACAGG
rnacentral:rRNA from 1 species